GCCUCAAGAAAAGAAGCCGUUAGACUAAAUUGCAUUAUGUGUCUGCAUAUGAAGGGAUUUUCUUGUUGAAAGUGCCAACAAAGCUAGAGUCGAAGGAGCAGAGGAGUUUCUUGCAAAUAUACGAACAAUGGGCUGAAUGAGAUUAAUGAGGGACUUAAGAUCUAUCCAUCCAAUAUUAAUGGAGUCCCUCAUUAUGUGAUUAAUGGCAAGCACCAGUUGAGUGGAGGGCAGUCUCCUGAGGUCUUACUAAGAGCAUUUCAGUCUGCUGCUAGCGAUUAGCGUCUCGUUUACAAUUGGAGAUGAGGAUGAGAGGAGUAUUAUGCGUCUGUUAUUGUUGUUGUACUAAAAAAGUUUAAUCUGUAACUGGUGUAUGAAUAGUAAAUAGUACUAAAGGGGGAAUAAUGUCGCCCUCUGUUCUUACUCAUAUCGUC